rnacentral:rRNA from 1 species
GACAGAGGAUGCAAGCGUUAUCCGGAAUGAUUGGGCGUAAAGCGUCUGUAGGUGGCUUUUUUAAGUCCGCCGUCAAAUCCCAGGGCUCAACCCUGGACAGGCGGUGGAAACUACCAAGCUGGAGUACGGUAGGGGAGAGGGAAUUUCCGGUGGAGCGGUGAAAUGCGUAGAGAUUGGAAAAGAACACCAUGGCGAAAGGCAUUUACUGG